UAUAUCCUGCGUUGUUCGUUAUGCGAUAUUCAUUUAAACCCACAAUAAAUGAAAGGGAAUGCGGGUCUAUCGGCGCUGUGCAAGCCGACACCUAACGGAAUUGUAGUCGGAAACCGAAACGCCGAAGCAGCACAACCAUCCUGCUGUAAAGGCGGGUUACUAAUGUAUCGCGGACGGCAAAGGCGGGAUUUAU
rnacentral:other from 1 species